rnacentral:sRNA from 1 species
ACGAAAACCCGUUAAAUUGAA